GACAAUUUCUUGAAUCCUCAUCCUGCGUCUCAGCAGUUCGCAGUCAGUCGCUUCCUGCCACCUCAACAUUAUGCUUCUGGUGUCUACACCCUUCUCCCCACCUCCUCACUGAUUCCCAGCUGUGCUGAAUUGAACCAUGUUUCCUGUGCCUUUUCUGGCUUGGAAACUCUCCGCCUUGACUGCUGCUGCAACUCUACCCCCUAGUGGCCGAAACUGGAAACACGCAUUUGGAAGAACAAAACUGCCUGGAUGGCUGGAGAAUCCGGAAUUCAAAGACCUCUAGAGACACAGAUGAUGCCCAAGCUUCACCGUCCUAAGAUAUAUCCUUCAGCCACCAGGUUCCAGAUGCUAGCAUGAUGCCAACCAGACUUCCCUGGACAGAUAACCCCACCAAUGUGUCCUGGAGCUCUGCUAGUAUUGUUAUUUAUCAUUCCCACUAGGGAAAGAGAGAGGCAGGCUGGGAGUAUGGAUCAACCUGUCAACACCCAUGUUCAGCAGGGAAGCAACUACAGAAGCCAGACCUUCCACCUUCUGCAUCCCACAAGGACCUUGGUUCCAUACUCCCAGAGGGUUAAAGAAUAGGAAAGCUAUCAGGGGAGGGGAUGGAAUAAGGAGUUCUGGUGGUGGGAAUUGUGUGGAGUUGUACCCCUCUUAU